rnacentral:rRNA from 1 species
GACGAACGCUGGCGGCGUGCUUAACACAUGCAAGUCGAACGUGAUUUUUGUGGAAAUUCUUUCGGGAAUGGAAAUGAAAUGAAAGUGGCGAACGGGUGAGUAACACGUGAGCAACCUACCUUACACAGGGGGAUAGCCGUCUGAAACGACGAUUAAUACCGCAUGAGACCACAGAAUCGCAUGAGAUAGUGGUCAAAGAACUAUCGGGGUAAGAAGGGCUCGCGUCUGAUUAGCUUGUUGGAAGGGUAAAGGCCUACCAAGGCGACGAGCAGUAGCCGGUCUGAGAGAAUGAACGGCCACAUUGGAGCUGGGACGCAGUCCAAAAUCCUACGGGAGGCGGCAGUGGGGAAUAGUGCAAAACGGGGUGAAUCAUGAUGCAGCGACGCCGGGAGAGCGAUGAAGGUAUUCAAAUCGUAAAGCCCAGUCAUAUGAGAAGAUAAUGACGGUAUCAUAGGAGGAAGCCCCGGCUAAAUACGUG